UACGAAGGGGGCUAGCGUUGCUCGGAAUGACUGGGCGUAAAGGGCGCGUAGGCGGUUUGUACAGUCAGGUGUGAAAUUCCCGGGCUCAACCUGGGGGCUGCACUUGAUACGUAUGGACUGGAGUGGGGAAGAGGGUCGUGGAAUUCCCAGUGUAGAGGUGAAAUUCGUAGAUAUUGGGAAGAACACCGGUGGCGAAGGCGGCGACCUGGUCCGUGACUGACGCUGAGGUGCGAAAGCGUGGGGAGCAAACAGG
rnacentral:rRNA from 1 species